GCCAGGCGUGGUGGCGCACGCCUGUAAUCCUCGUGGCUUUGGAGGCUGAGGCGGGAGGAUCGCAAGUUCAAAGCCAGCUUCAGCAAAUAAGCAAGGCCCUAAUCAACUCAGUGAGACCCUGUCUCUA
rnacentral:sRNA from 1 species